CAAAAAAAUAAUAGAAACGACACAUAAAAAAAACACAGGUAAAACAGGUAAAAACAUUCCAGUUUUAAUUCCGGCUUUGUUCCGGUCACGUGAUUGUGUUUCGACGCACUGGAACCCUGCAGGUGACGUGGAAUAUGGGGACAAAAACGAUAAAUCCCUGCGGUAUCGUAAAAUCUCUAGCUACUGUCGAAUCGGCUAUUGGUUUUUUAAGUCUCAGUUAGUAAAAAGGCACUACUAAAUACAAUCCAGGCUGACGAAACAAUUGUUUUUGUGCCUGCUUGCUCGAAGCAAGCUUGAUUGUUCGAGUUGCCAGAUGGAGUCAGGAUUACCUUGCAGCCAGAUAGUAUUCUUAUGAGAACUCCCUAGGAAUCCUGUAAUCUCCAGUCAUGGCUAGUCCACAUGAAUUAACGUUUCAGGAGUUUGAGGAAGCCGCCGAUCUGCUGUCUUCAAAUCCUGGAGCCUCAACCCUCAGCAUCUCCAGCCCCGGCGCAGCAGCCGCCUCAGAUGUCAGAGUUGAUCUGUCAGAAGAUGAAGACAAUCAGCAAGAGAGUUCAGAGGUGAGCUGCAAAACCAAACAGGCAAAUAAGGUCACAAGUAGCUGCUUAUUUCUUGUG
rnacentral:lncRNA from 1 species